GAUGAACGCUGGCGGCGUGCCUAAUACAUGCAAGUCGAGCGAAUGGAUUAAGAGCUUGCUCUUAUGAAGUUAGCGGCGGACGGGUGAGUAACACGUGGGUAACCUGCCCAUAAGACUGGGAUAACUCCGGGAAACCGGGGCUAAUACCGGAUAACAUUUUGAACCGCAUGGUUCGAAAUUGAAAGGCGGCUUCGGCUGUCACUUAUGGAUGGACCCGCGUCGCAUUAGCUAGUUGGUGAGGUAACGGCUCACCAAGGCAACGAUGCGUAGCCGACAUGGGCGGGUGAUCGGCCACACUGGGACUGGGACACGGCCCAGACUCCUACGGGAGGCAGCAGUAGGGAAUCUUCCGCAAUGGACGAAAGUCUGACGGAGCAACGCCGCGUGAGUGAUGAAGGCUUUCGGGUCGUAAAACUCUGUUGUUAGGGAAGAACAAGUGCUAGUUGAAUAAGCUGGCACCUUGACGGUACCUAACCAGAAAGCCACGGCUAACUACGUGCCAGCAGCCGCCGUAA
rnacentral:rRNA from 1 species